CCUACGGGAGGCAGCAGUAGGGAAUUUUCGUCAAUGGGCGCAAGCCUGAACGAGCGAUGCCGCGUGAGUGAAGAAGGCCUUCGGGUCGUAAAGCUCUGUUGCGGGGUAAAAAAGUCAGCCUCAGGAAAUGGAUGCUGACUGAUGGUGCCCCGCCAGAAAGUCACGGCUAACUACGUUCCAGCAGCCGCGGUAAUACGUAGGUGGCGAGCGUUAUCCGGAAGGAUUGGGCGUAAAGGGUUCGCAGGCGGUCCGUCAAGUCUGGAGUGAAACGCAUGAGCUCAACUCAUGCAUGGCUUUGGAAGCUGGAGGACUGGAGAGCAGGAGAGGGCGGUGGAACUACAUGUGUAGCGGUAAAAUGCGUAGAUAUAUGGAAGAACACCAGUGGCGAAGGCGGCCGCCUGGCCUGUUGCUGACGCUGAGGCACGAAAGCGUGGGGAGCAAAUAGGAUUAGAUACCCCGGUAGUC
rnacentral:rRNA from 1 species